UCAUCAUUAUCAAGAGUAACAGCAUAAAUAGUCUUUGAGUGCCUCAUCUACUAGACACUGGGCUGCUGACUUUGUCAACUGCUUUGGAGUAAGAACCCACCUCAUCCCCUUCCCACUACCUCUCCAUCAACCUUAUACUUCACUGCUACUGACUCAUGGCAUCAGGAUUGCAGCCAUGCCUUGAUAAAAUGGGAGCCUGUGUUCACUCAACUAAUGGUUAUGCAACUUAAGCAAGUUUUCUUUAAUCUGAUUGAGACUCCAGCACAUCCUACCUUUCUGUUUCUUGAAGUCAUUUGUGAUUCCUGACACAGAACUCCAGGAUGUUCCACAUUGAUGUAUCUUCAUCUCCAGAUCCCUUAAAAUCAGAAAAGGAGAACCAGAGGCAAGGACCGGGAUGUAUGUGAUUCAUUCAGAGAACAUUCUGCAGGAAGAACCAAUAAAGGAAACAGGAUAACAAAGAAGACAGAGCUGAGCAAGGAUGUGGUUUCAGGCAGAUUUAGCCAAACGACCUCAAGACUGUUAAAUAGGCAAAGAAGUAGUGAAGAGAGUAUGGACAAUAGGCUCCUGUGAAUCUGGACUCCAGCACCAGCUUCUCCACUUACUUGCUGUUGGAACUUUGGGAAGACACCUUAAUCUAGUCCAUCAUUCUUUCCAGUUCACUUCAGCUGCAAGUGAGCAGUCUUGCCACAGGAAGUAGCUUCAAUCCACUUGCUGGCGAGGGACCAUCUCGCCAUCUCCCACAGUGCCUGGUGCAGACAUCUUUAUUGUUACUGCAGGAGACAUUGACAAGGAACAGCACUGUUUUUCUCCAAAACUGCAUCACAAAAUGAGAAUGGUAUUUGGUUCUGUCUUUAAGCGUAGAUGAAUGUGAACAUAUCUUCCAGUCUUGAUGCCUCUAAAACCAAGAUAUUAUAUUUUUACCACCUGCUCAGAAAGGUAUAUGCCUUAAGCAUGCAAGGCCCCCAGGAUGGUUCCUUUAUAAUUCCUACAAUAGAGUAAAUCCCCCUCCCUUCCAAAGGAGUAAAUCCUCAACCACAAGUAACUGUGAUCUGUCUGCGUACAGAAAAAGAAAAUUGGGCUUCUUUAUAAGAGCACCAUGAGACACAGAGUUUUACCUCAACACUCUGAUAGACCAGCAGUGCCUUCUGCAUGGGCUGCUGAUGCAGCAGUUGGCAUGGACAUCGGAGAAAAGAUUCAGAGGAUGGAAACUACAAACACUGGGACAUGAAAAAAAUACCACUAAAGCAGCUGAACAUGCUGACGGCAAACUCAAAAUGACUUUGUUGCCAGUUUUUGCUAAAUUACACAUCUUUCCAAAGACAUCCUACAUCAAUCAGCAUUCAGAUUCAACAAGUGCUUCCCAAGACUAAUACGGGCCAAGACAACUGUCAGGCAUGCUCAUGUAUUUAGCACAUGUAACUCCCACUACAAACCUUUGGAGUAGGCUUGAUUCCCACAGUAACCCAGCUGAGGACUGGCUUUGCUUUCUUGCUUUGGAGUCAUGGCAUCUCAUAUAUGCCAAUUGACCUGUAUUAGACAAGGAUUUUGUUUUGCUUUGUUUUUCUUACUGCUUUUUAACCAUAAAACCCAGGCAGACAUAA